rnacentral:rRNA from 1 species
CAGGUAGAGAAUACCAAGGCGCUUGAGAGAACUCGGGUGAAGGAACUAGGCAAAAUGGUGCCGUAACUUCGGGAGAAGGCACGCUGGUGUGUAGGUGAAGCCCCUGCGGGUGGAGCUGAGACCAGUCGAAGAUACCAGCUGGCUGCAACUGUUUAUUAAAAACACAGCACUGUGCAAACACGAAAGUGGACGUAUACGGUGUGACGCCUGCCCGGUGCCGGAAGGUUAAUUGAUGGGGUUAUCCGUAAGGAGAAGCUCUUGAUCGAAGCCCCGGUAAACGGCGGCCGUAACUAUAACGGUCCUAAGGUAGCGAAAUUCCUUGUCGGGUAAGUUCCGACCUGCACGAAUGGCGUAAUGAUGGCCAGGCUGUCUCCACCCGAGACUCAGUGAAAUUGAACUCGCUGUGAAGAUGCAGUGUACCCGCGGCAAGACGGAAAGACCCCGUGAACCUUUACUAUAGCUUGACACUGAACAUUGAGCCUUGAUGUGUAGGAUAGGUGGGAGGCUUUGAAGCGUGGACGCCAGUCUGCGUGGAGCCAACCUUGAAAUACCACCCUUUAAUGUUUGAUGUUCUAACGUUGGCCCCUGACCGGGGUUGCGGACAGUGUCUGGUGGGUAGUUUGACUGGGGCGGUCUCCUCCCAAAGCGUAACGGAGGAGCACGAAGGUUAGCUAAUCCUGGUCGGACAUCAGGAGGUUAGUGCAAUGGCAUAAGCUAGCUUGACUGCGAGCGUGACGGCGCGAGCAGGUGCGAAAGCAGGUCAUAGUGAUCCGGUGGUUCUGAAUGGAAGGGCCAUCGCUCAACGGAUAAAAGGUACUCCGGGGAUAACAGGCUGAUACCGCCCAAGAGUUCAUAUCGACGGCGGUGUUUGGCACCUCGAUGUCGGCUCAUCACAUCCUGGGGCUGAAGUAGGUCCCAAGGGUAUGGCUGUUCGCCAUUUAAAGUGGUACGCGAGCUGGGUUUAGAACGUCGUGAGACAGUUCGGUCCCUAUCUGCCGUGGGCGCUGGAGAAUUGAGGGGGGCUGCUCCUAGUACGAGAGGACCGGAGUGGACGCAUCACUGGUGUUCGGGUUGUCAUGCCAAUGGCACUGCCCGGUAGCUAAAUGCGGAAGAGAUAAGUGCUGAAAGCAUCUAAGCACGAAACUUGCCCCGAGAUGAGUUCUCCCUGAGACUAUAAGUCUCCUGAAGGAACGUUAAAGACGAUGACGUUGAUAGGCCGGGUGUGUAAGCGCAGCGAUGCGUUGAGCUAACCGGUACUAAUGAACCGUGAGGCUUAACCUU